UGUCCAGGGAUGGGAAUCGAACCCACAGUGUUCCGCUUACCGGGCAGAUGCCAUGUCCACUAGCCUUACCCAACAC